rnacentral:rRNA from 1 species
GAUGAACGCUGGCGGCGUGCCUAAUACAUGCAAGUCGAGCGAACAGAUAAGGAGCUUGCUCCUUUGACGUUAGCGGCGGACGGGUGAGUAACACGUGGGUAACCUACCUAUAAGACUGGAAUAACUCCGGGAAACCGGGGCUAAUGCCGGAUAACAUUUAGAACCGCAUGGUUCUAAAGUGAAAGAUGGUUUUACUAUCACUUAUAGAUGGACCCGCGCCGUAUUAGCUAGUUGGUAAGGUAACGGCUUACCAAGGCAACGAUACGUAGCCGACCUGAGAGGGUGAUCGGCCACACUGGAACUGAGACACGGUCCAGACUCCUACGGGAGGCAGCAGUAGGGAAUCUUCUGCAAUGGGCGAAAGCCUGACGGAGCAACGCCGCGUGAGUGAUGAAGGUCUUCGGAUCGUAAAACUCUGUUAUUAGGGAAGAACAAAUGUGUAAGUAACUGUGCACGUCUUGACGGUACCUAAUCAGAAAGCCACGGCUAACUACGUG